rnacentral:rRNA from 1 species
GCAGCAGUGGGGAAUAUUGCACAAUGGGCGAAAGCCUGAUGCAGCGACGCCGCGUGGGGGAUGACGGUCUUCGGAUUGUAAACCCCUUUCAGUAGGGACGAAGCGCAAGUGACGGUACCUGCAGAAGAAGCACCGGCUAACUACGUGCCAGCAGCCGCGGUAAUACGUAGGGUGCGAGCGUUGUCCGGAAUUACUGGGCGUAAAGAGCUCGUAGGCGGUUUGUCACGUCGUCUGUGAAAUCCCUCGGCUUAACCGGGGGCGUGCAGGCGAUACGGGCAGACUUGAGUACUACAGGGGAGACUGGAAUUCCUGGUGUAGCGGUGAAAUGCGCAGAUAUCAGGAGGAACACCGGUGGCGAAGGCGGGUCUCUGGGUAGUAACUGACGCUGAGGAGCGAAAGCAUGGGUAGCGAACAGGAUUAGAUACCCUGGUAGUCCAUGCCGUAAACGGUGGGCGCUAGGUGUGGGGUUCUUCCACGGACUCCGUGCCGUAGCUAACGCAUUAAGCGCCCCGCCUGGGGAGUACGGCCGCAAGGCUAAAACUCAAAGGAAUUGACGGGGGCCCGCACAAGCGGCGGAGCAUGUGGAUUAAUUCGAUGCAACGCGAAGAACCUUACCUAGGCUUGACAUAUACAGGACGACGGCAGAGAUGUCGUUUCCCUUGUGGCUUGUAUACAGGUGC